GAAAUGCGAUAAGUAAUGUGAAUUGCAGAAUUCAGUGAAUCAUCGAAUCUUUGAACGCACAUUGCGCCCGCUAGUAUUCUGGCGGGCAUGCCUGUCCGAGCGUCAUUUCAACCAUCAAGCCCCGCUUGUGCUGGGGACCUGCGGCUGCCCGCAGGCCCUGAAAACCAGUGGCGGGCUCGCCGUCACCCCGAGCGCAGUAGUUCUACGCCUCGCUCCGGGAGUGCGCGGCGGGCGCCCGGCCGUUAAACAGACCAAAUCUCAUAGCAAGGUUGACCUCGGAUCAGGUAGGAAUACCCGCUGAACUUAA
rnacentral:misc_RNA from 1 species